rnacentral:rRNA from 1 species
GACAGAGGUGCCGAGCGUUAGGCGGAAUCACUGGGCUUAAAGCGUGUGUAGGCGGGCGGGCAAGUACCUUGUGAAAUCCCACGGCUCAACCGUGGAACUGCUGGGUAUACUGCCUGUCUUGAGCCAGCUAGGGGCGAGCGGAACAGACGGUGGAGCGGUGAAAUGCGUUGAGAUCGGAAGGAACGCCCGUGGCGAAAGCGAGGCCCUGGACCCUUACUGACGCUGAGACGCGAAAGCCAGGGGAGCGAACGGG